rnacentral:rRNA from 1 species
GGUUAAGCGACUAAGCGUACACGGUGGAUGCCCUGGCAGUCAGAGGCGAUGAAGGACGUGCUAAUCUGCGAUAAGCGUCGGUAAGGUGAUAUGAACCGUUAUAACCGGCGAUUUCCGAAUGGGGAAACCCAGUGUGUUUCGACACACUAUCAUUAACUGAAUCCAUAGGUUAAUGAGGCGAACCGGGGGAACUGAAACAUCUAAGUACCCCGAGGAAAAGAAAUCAACCGAGAUUCCCCCAGUAGCGGCGAGCGAACGGGGAGGAGCCCAGAGCCUGAAUCAGUGUGUGUGUUAGUGGAAGCGUCUGGAAAGGCGCGCGAUACAGGGUGACAGCCCCGUACACAAAAAUGCACAUGCUGUGAGCUCGAUGAGUAGGGCGGGACACGUGGUAUCCUGUCUGAAUAUGGGGGGACCAUCCUCCAAGGCUAAAUACUCCUGACUGACCGAUAGUGAACCAGUACCGUGAGGGAAAGGCGAAAAGAACCCCGGCGAGGGGAGUGAAAAAGAACCUGAAACCGUGUACGUACAAGCAGUGGGAGCACGCUUAGGCGUGUGACUGCGUACCUUUUGUAUAAUGGGUCAGCGACUUAUAUUCUGUAGCAAGGUUAACCGAAUAGGGGAGCCGAAGGGAAACCGAGUCUUAACUGGGCGUUAAGUUGCAGGGUAUAGACCCGAAACCCGGUGAUCUAGCCAUGGGCAGGUUGAAGGUUGGGUAACACUAACUGGAGGACCGAACCGACUAAUGUUGAAAAAUUAGCGGAUGACUUGUGGCUGGGGGUGAAAGGCCAAUCAAACCGGGAGAUAGCUGGUUCUCCCCGAAAGCUAUUUAGGUAGCGCCUCGUGAAUUCAUCUCCGGGGGUAGAGCACUGUUUCGGCAAGGGGGUCAUCCCGACUUACCAACCCGAUGCAAACUGCGAAUACCGGAGAAUGUUAUCACGGGAGACACACGGCGGGUGCUAACGUCCGUCGUGAAGAGGGAAACAACCCAGACCGCCAGCUAAGGUCCCAAAGUCAUGGUUAAGUGGGAAACGAUGUGGGAAGGCCCAGACAGCCAGGAUGUUGGCUUAGAAGCAGCCAUCAUUUAAAGAAAGCGUAAUAGCUCACUGGUCGAGUCGGCCUGCGCGGAAGAUGUAACGGGGCUAAACCAUGCACCGAAGCUGCGGCAGCGACGCUGAUGCGUUGUUGGGUAGGGGAGCGUUCUGUAAGCCUGCGAAGGUGUGCUGUGAGGCAUGCUGGAGGUAUCAGAAGUGCGAAUGCUGACAUAAGUAACGAUAAAGCGGGUGAAAAGCCCGCUCGCCGGAAGACCAAGGGUUCCUGUCCAACGUUAAUCGGGGCAGGGUGAGUCGACCCCUAAGGCGAGGCCGAAAGGCGUAGUCGAUGGGAAACAGGUUAAUAUUCCUGUACUUGGUGUUACUGCGAAGGGGGGACGGAGAAGGCUAUGUUGGCCGGGCGACGGUUGUCCCGGUUUAAGCGUGUAGGCUGGUUUUCCAGGCAAAUCCGGAAAAUCAAGGCUGAGGCGUGAUGACGAGGCACUACGGUGCUGAAGCAACAAAUGCCCUGCUUCCAGGAAAAGCCUCUAAGCAUCAGGUAACAUCAAAUCGUACCCCAAACCGACACAGGUGGUCAGGUAGAGAAUACCAAGGCGCUUGAGAGAACUCGGGUGAAGGAACUAGGCAAAAUGGUGCCGUAACUUCGGGAGAAGGCACGCUGAUAUGUAGGUGAAGCGACUUGCUCGUGGAGCUGAAAUCAGUCGAAGAUACCAGCUGGCUGCAACUGUUUAUUAAAAACACAGCACUGUGCAAACACGAAAGUGGACGUAUACGGUGUGACGCCUGCCCGGUGCCGGAAGGUUAAUUGAUGGGGUUAGCGCAAGCGAAGCUCUUGAUCGAAGCCCCGGUAAACGGCGGCCGUAACUAUAACGGUCCUAAGGUAGCGAAAUUCCUUGUCGGGUAAGUUCCGACCUGCACGAAUGGCGUAAUGAUGGCCAGGCUGUCUCCACCCGAGACUCAGUGAAAUUGAACUCGCUGUGAAGAUGCAGUGUACCCGCGGCAAGACGGAAAGACCCCGUGAACCUUUACUAUAGCUUGACACUGAACAUUGAGCCUUGAUGUGUAGGAUAGGUGGGAGGCUUUGAAGUGUGGACGCCAGUCUGCAUGGAGCCGACCUUGAAAUACCACCCUUUAAUGUUUGAUGUUCUAACGUUGACCCGUAAUCCGGGUUGCGGACAGUGUCUGGUGGGUAGUU